CAGUCGCCGCGGUAAUACGUAGGUGGCAAGCGUUAUCCGGAAUUAUUGGGCGUAAAGCGCGCGCAGGCGGUUUCUUAAGUCUGAUGUGAAAGCCCACGGCUCAACCGUGGAGGGUCAUUGGAAACUGGGGAACUUGAGUGCAGAAGAGAAAAGCGGAAUUCCACGUGUAGCGGUGAAAUGCGUAGAGAUGUGGAGGAACACCAGUGGCGAAGGCGGCUUUUUGGUCUGUAACUGACGCUGAGGCGCGAAAGCGUGGGGAGCAAACAGGAUUAGAUACCCCUGUAGUCCCUGUCUCUUAUAC
rnacentral:rRNA from 1 species